AAGUGAAAGAAUUCAAACAAUCCCAAAAUUCAGCAUCCGUUGGAAAACUUCAAAAUUCAAAUGCAUAACCCAAAAGGUUUGGUUGUGGAGAAAUGCAGAAAAAAGUUAAAUCUUUUGAAAUCGGCAAGGUUCAAAUACCGAAAUUCAUACCCAGAUGCUCCAUUUGGUCACGGACAAAUGCAGAAAGAUGAAAUUAAAAUUUGGCUGAGUUCAGAACUCAAAUUAUUUUUUCCUACAUAAAACAUAAGAUUCAACAUGCUAAUUCUGUUUAUAUUCCUAGAUUUUCUCAGCACCCAAAGCAUAAUUUCAGAGUGGAACAACACAAAACAAAAACCCAUAAACCCGUAAACCCUUUAAAAUAACCACUAUAACACACACCAUCUUCCUAUCACAACAUAAAAGAACAUAAGCUCGAAACCCGUAGUCCCAAUCCUGGUCCACUGCUUCCUCAUCAACCAAAUAAAUGUACUACUAAAACACUCUCUCCCCGAAAACGACACAACACAUGAGAUACGAACACUCUUUUCUCUCCGCCCACUUCCUCAUCAACCAAACAGAG
rnacentral:lncRNA from 1 species